GGGGGGGGGGGGGGGGGGGGGGGGGGGGGGGGGGGGGGGGGAGCGGGCGAGGGGCGGGCGCCGCGGGCGUUGGCGGCGGACGGGGGGGGAACACGGGGAUAGCCUACCUAUAAGACGGGGCUGACUUCGGGAAACCGGCGCUACGACCGGGUAAUAUAUUGAACCGCAUGGGUCACUCGUGAAAGACGGUUUUGCUGUCACUUAUAGAUGGAUCCGCGCCGCCUUGUCGAUUUGGCAAGGUACCGGCUUACCAAGGCAACGAUGCGUAGCCGACCUGAGAGGGUGAUCGGCCACACUGGAACUGAGACACGGUCAAGACUCCUACGGGAGGAAGCAGUAGGGAAUCUUCCGCAAUGGGCGAAAGCCUGACGGAGCAACGCCGCGUGAGUGAUGAAGGUCUUCGGAUCGUAAAACUCUGUUAUUAGGGAAGAACAAAUGUGUAAGUAACUAUGCACGUCUUGACGGUACCUAAUCAGAAAGCCACGGCUAACUACGUG
rnacentral:rRNA from 1 species